rnacentral:rRNA from 1 species
AGUGAACGCUGGCGGUAGGCCUAACACAUGCAAGUCGAACGGCAGCAAAGUAAGAGCGUGCACGGACGGGUGGCGAGUGGCGGACGGGUGAGGAAUACAUCGGAAUCUACUUUUACGGGGGGGAAAACGGAGGGAAACUUACGCUAAUACCGCAUACGACCGACGGGUGAAAGCAGGGGAGCUUAGGAACUUGCGCGAUUGAAUGAGCCGAUGUCGGAUUAGCUAGUUGGCGGGGUAAAGGCCCACCAAGGCGACGAUCCGUAGCUGGUCUGCGAGGAUGGUCACCCACACUGUCUCUGAGACACGUCCCACACUCCUACGGGAGGCAGCAGUGCGGACUAUUGGACAAUGCGCGCAAGCCUGAUCCAGCCCUACCGCGUCGGUCAUGAAGGCCUUCUGGUUCUAAAGCCCUUUUGUUGGGAAAGAAAAGCAGCUGUUUAAUCCCCCGCUGUUCUGACGGUACCCAAAGAAUAAGCCCCGGCUAACUUCGUG